GAUGAACGCUGGCGGCGUGCCUAAUACAUGCAAGUCGAGCGAAGCGGGGACGGGUGAGUAACACGUAGAUAACCUCCUAUAAGACUGGGAUAACUUCAGGAAACCGGAGCCAAACCCGAUACUUAUAGAUGAUUCCGCGUGGCAGUAGCUAGUGGGUAAGGUAACGGUUUACCAAGGCAACGAUGCAUAGCCGACCUGAGAGGUUGAGCAGCCACACUGGAACUGAGACACGGUCCAGACUCCUACGGGAGGCAGCAGUAGGGAAGCUUCCGCAAUUGGCGAAAGCCUGACGGAGCAACGCCGCGUGAGUGAUGAAGGUCUUCGGAUCGUAAAACUCUGUUAUUAGGGAAGCGGUACCUAAUCAGAAAGCCACGGCUAACUACGUGCCAGCCGCCGCGGUAAUUC
rnacentral:rRNA from 1 species